UUUGGUGAUGAUGGCGAAGAGGUCACACCCGUUCCCAUGCCGAACACGGAAGUUAAGCUCUUCAGCGCCGAUGGUAGUUGGGGGUUUCCCCCUGUGAGAGUAGGACGUCGCCAAGU
rnacentral:rRNA from 2 species